GUAUAUAUAGCUAUGACAAUACAUAUUCUAAAAUUGGAAUGAUACAGAGAAGAUAAGCAUAGCUCCUGUGCAAGAAUGACACAUGAAUUCGUGAGGCACUCCAUAUUUCU